rnacentral:sRNA from 1 species
GGAACUACUUUCAGCCAGAUCUGGCUGCAAUAUCUGACAUUGCAUUGGUUGCCAGGAUUGAUCAGCUGAUCUGGCUAGCUAGGCAGGUGCCCUCCCUACUCACUGUUCCAUGUAUGUCCCUCCUGAAUCUAUAUACUCGGUGGAAGAAAAUGACCAUUCCAGAUAUGCGGAGGGAACUGUUGUUCUCUGAAAGACAGGACAAACUGGAUUUUCCCCAGUGCAGUGGUUCCAUAAUCUGGGUGCUGAUGGAUUUGGGCAGCAUGUUAUGCAGAAGGCACAAUUAAAAAAAAAAAAAGGAUAUUU